rnacentral:rRNA from 1 species
UACGGGGGGGGCAAGCGUUGGUCGGAAUUACUGGGCGGAAAGGGCUCGUAGGCUGCCAACUAAGUCAGACGUGAAAUCCCUCGGCUUAACCGGGGAACUGCGUCUGAUACUGGAUGGCUUGAGUUUGGGAGAGGGAUGCGGAAUUCCAGGUGUAGCGGUGAAAUGCGUAGAUAUCUGGAGGAACACCGGUGGCGAAGGCGGCAUCCUGGACCAACACUGAAGAUGAGUGAGCGAAAGCCAGGGGAGCAAACGGG